rnacentral:tRNA from 1 species
UUUUAAAGUAAGCUAAAUUAAGCUAGUGGGUUCAUACCCCAAAAAUGAUAUAUUCCUUUAAUAA